rnacentral:pre_miRNA from 1 species
CUACUACUCCCUCCGUCCCAAAAUUCUUGUCUUAGAUUUGUCUAGAUACGGAUGUAUCAAGUCACGUUUUAGUAUUAGAUACAUCCGUAUCUAGACAAAUCUAAGACAAGAAUUUUGGGACGGAGGGAGUACAUG